rnacentral:lncRNA from 1 species
AAUCUGUUGCAGAGUUUGAGAAAUACAGAAAAACAGGAAACUCUCCAGGAAGAAAAUAUCAAAAUAAGAUUUCUUGUGGUGUGAGGAUUUGGGAAUGGGUCCUAGCGGAGGAAAGUUACCAUCAAAGAUGAGUGUGGAAGAGGGGCGGGGGGCUACGGGGAAGGCACCCAGUACCAGCCUAGGCUCCACCCAGAGCUGAACCUCAACAGAGGAUGGAGGAAAAGUCUGGUAAGACACGUUCCUGCCACAUCACCUGGAGUCAAGGCCCUGGUGGGGCAGAAGCCUGACUCCCCAGUCCAGGGACAGUGACUCGGGCUUGGGAGAACUGGGUCUCCUGCCUCUCUCGCUUGAGAGACCAGACGGCCAGUCUUCUCUCCCUGCCACACCUGAGACGCUCAGCUGGGAGCCCUGCAUUUCUCUGUCGAGGAAAACAGUGAUUCAAACAAGGGCAAAGACUUUGCUCAGCCAGUGGAAAACUUGACAUUGUCUGGUACUUGGAAAAGACCCUCCUUCUGACUCCUCUUGGUCUCGCAUAAAAGGAGGAGAUUCCUCGGAAGGUCGAGGUGCUUCUGUAAUUGGGACUGGUGCCUGGUACCUUCUGGAAAUAGCUUUGCUUCCUGAAGGAUGGGUGUGGGAAAAGAUUAUAGAAAGAUUAGCUGCCUGUGGGCGGGGGAUGCCUUGCGGGAGGGUGUGACUUAGGAUAAAUUAAAAGCAAUUGCAUGUCCAGUGGGUAAAGUGGAUAAGGCCAGAUUCUGAAUCCCUAAGACACACUUAACAUUUUCUUAUCAAAAUUUAUUCUGAGAAUCUUCACUGUACUAAAGUUAUUUCAAGUCAGCUUGUUGGUGCCCUCUUCUAGGAAGCCUUCCCUUAGCCCCCGCCCCUUAUAGUUUUUUAUUUCCUCCCCAUCUUUAU